GUCUCAAACCCAUGGGCUGAAGCAGCCCUCCCGCCUUGGCCUCCCAGAGUAUUGGGAUUACAGGUGUGAGGCACUGCACCCGGCCUCUCUUGCAUGUUGAGUGGUUCUUUUACCCAGGCAUCAUAGCAUGACACCCUGUGCCAUUAGUCACAUGAGAAGCAUAGCUUCCUGAGUUGUGCAGAUCUUCCAAAUGGGGGCACCUUUCGUUUGACAAUAUUUUUUUAAAAUCUGCAUUUGUGAUCUCUCAGGGAGAGCUUGGAGCAUCAGGACUCUUUUAAGCUCACAGCGGCAAGUUGACAGGCUUACAUCAUUCAUUUUUCAUCAAACGUCUGCCAAAUACCCAACACUGAAUAACUAGCUUCCCCAGCACUCUUGCAAGUGGAAAGGGUGUUCUGUGAAAACAGCAGCUAUUUCGGCUCACAGCACUGAGCGCUCCCCACGUGCUUUCCCUGAGCCAGCUGUCAUUCUGCAGCAGAGACCGGGAGAAUGUCAAGAACACAAGCACUCAAGAAUGGAAAUAAUUCAAACGUCCUUCAGCUUGAGAGUGGUUAAACAAACUGGCACAUCUGAUUCCUCCUCAGCAAUGAAACAGAAGGGACUGUUGACUCACACAGUGCUGUGGUUGGAUCUCAAGGGCAUUGUACUAAGAAAAAGCCAAUUCUAUAAGGAGGUGUACUGUGUGAUUCCAUUUCUAAAUGACACCCUCAAAAUGCCAGCCGCAGAGGGAGGGCGGGUCAGUGUUGCACAGAGCAGCAGGAGGCAGCAGGAGGCCGUCCUCUGUGGUAAUGGAGAGUACUUGGCCAGGGCCGCUGUGGUGGUACAAGAAUCUACACAUGUGACAAAUGCCAUAGAAUUAGACCCAAAGAAUGCCUGUGAAAGGUGCUGAAAUCCAGUGGGGUUUGCAGCCUGAUUCAUUCUGUAGUGAAAUCUAGUGAGGUCUACAUUCUGGUUCACUCCAUAUUGAAAUCCAGUGGGGUCUGCAGCCUGGUUCAGUCUAGUGAAAUCCAGUGGGGUCUGCAGCCUGGUUCACUCAGUAGUGAAAUCCAGUGGGGUCUGCAGCCUGGUUCACUCAGUAGUGAAAUCCAGUGGGGUCUGCAGCCUGGUUCACUCUAGUGAAAUCCAGCGGGGUCUGCAGCCUGGUUCACUCUAGUGAAAUCCAGUGGGGUCUACAGCCUGGUUCACUCAGUAGUGAAACCCAGUGAGGUCUGCAGCCUGGUUCAUUCUGUAGUGAAAUCCAGUGAGGUUUACAGCCCGGUUCACUCUGUAGUGAAAUCCAGUGAGGUUUACAGCCUGGUUCACUCAGUAGUGAAAUCCAGUGAGGUCUGCAGCCUGGUUCAUUCUGUAGUGAAAUCCAGUGAGGUCUGCAGCCUGGUUCAUUCUGUAGUGAAAUCCAGUGGGGUUUACAGCCCGGUUCACUCUGUAGUGAAAUCCAGUGGGGUCUGCAGCCUGGGUCACUGUAUGGUACCAAUGUCAGCUUCCUGUGUUACAUGAGAUGGCAUAGUUGGGUGAAGCUGGUGAUGAAGGUAGGUGACCCCUCUACUAUUUUUACAACUUCUUGUGAGUCUAUAAACAUUUCACAAUUAAAAAACCAAAAAAGUGUACUCAGGAGCUGAAUUUAAUAAAAUGAACACUUUUGACUACUUU